rnacentral:rRNA from 1 species
AGUGAUAUGCUUGUCUCAAGGGCUAAGCCAUGCACGUCUAAGUAGAAGCCCGCCUCCGGCGGGCGAGACCGCGAAUGGCUCCAUACAACAGUCCCAGUUUACUGGAUGGUCGUGGCCUAGUUGGAUAACUGUGGUAAUUCUAGAGCUAAUACAUGCCCCCGAGCUCCGACUGUGCGGCGGCCGUGGCGGGGAGGCGGACGGCUCCGGCCCCCGCUCUUCUUCCGUCCGGUCGCUGCGGGAGGAGCGCUUUUAUUAGCUCAAAGCCGACCGGGCUCAUGCCCCGUCGCGUCGCCCACAAAGCGCGCGGCCGGGGCGGCCCGUUUCCACUCGGCGAAUCGAAAGAACCCGCAGAUCGCGCGGCGUCUUGCGCGCCCGCGACGCGUCCUUCAAGCGUCUGCCUCAUCAGCUUUCGACGGUAGGUUAGACGCCUACCAUGGCGGCAACGGGUAACGGGGAAUCGGGGUUCGGUUCCGGAGAGGGAGCCUGAGAAACGGCUACCACAUCCAAGGAAGGCAGCAGGCGCGCAAUUUACCCCCUCCCGGCACGGGGAGGUAGUGACGAGGCGUACCGCCGCGAGCCCCCGCGCGGGGCUGCGUAGGCGGAAUGAGCACAUUUUAAGUCCUUUAGCGAGGACCCAUCGGAGGGCAAGUCUGGUGCCAGCAGCCGCGGGAACUCCAGCUCCGAUAGCGUAUGUUAACGCUGCUGCGGUUAAAGAGCUCGUCGCCGGACGUCGGCCUCGGAGGGGCGGUUCGCCGGAGGGCGACACUUCCCCGUUCCGGGCGCAGUGGCGCGUUCCCGGGCGGCUCGGGUAAACCCCUCCGGGUCCCUCCCGUCGGUCGCGGGUCUGGGGGGCGGCGCCUUCGGGUGCGGGUUUCUGGGCGGGCGUCGGGGUCUUGCGGGUGCUUUGCCGCGAGCGGGCAGGGUUUCCGGGUGCCGUGUGGCGGUGGCGUGGUCGCGGCCGGUCGGCGCGUCCGUUCGUUUUGCCGGGCCUGGGCCGGUGGGAGUUCGCUGUCCGGGUCCCGUGGAGGGCCUCCGCGCCGCCGUGCGGCUGGCGAGGCGGCGGCGGCGGGGAUGGGGAUUCGCGGGGAGGCUGGGCUGGUCUCUUUCGGUGUGGGGGGAGUCGGGCUUCGCGGCCCUUCUCUCUCCCCCGGGGGGGGCCUUUCCUCCUCUCAACGGUCCUCUACCAAACCCCGUCGUUUCGUCCGUCCGUUCGGUCCGUGCGCGCGGUCCGCGGGGACAACCCUCCCGGGGCUUCCCCCGGGCACGCUUCUUACUCUCGCUCGGCUCCGGGUCUCCGGCGGCUUGCGGCCGUCGCAUCCGGUCCUUCUCACUUCCCAUCCCGCACGCGCCCCGGUCUUCUCUCGCCCGUCUUUUGCGGCUUGCCCCGCUCGUUCCCCGUGCCCGUCCGCUCCCCCGUAGGCCCGCCCAUUCCGCCGCGGUCUCCCGGCGGGCAGGACGGCUCGGUGCGGGCCCCGGCCUCUAACCCGGGAAAUCGGCGCCGGUUUCCUCGAGAAAAUCGGAGUGCUCAGAGCAGGCUGCUAGAGGCUCGCACGGGAGUGCAUGGAACUAGACCCCAACGGCCCCGGCCCGUCUUUGCUGUCGGCUUCGGGGGCCGGGGUCAGGGUCGAUGGGGACGGCCGGGGGCAUUGGUACCGCGACGUUAGAGGUGAAAUUCAGGGAUCGUCGCGUGACCGACGACUGCGAAAGCAUUUGCCCAGUACGUUCCCGUCGGCCGAGAACGAAAGUCGGAGGCUCGAAGGCGAUCAGAUACCGCCCUAGUUCUAACCUUAAACGAUGCCGACCGGCGAUCCGCCGCAGGAGGCGCGCGUCGGCGCCUCGGCGGGCAGCCCGCCCGGGAAACCCGAGUGUUCGGGCUCCGGGGGGAGUAUGGUCGCAAGGCCGAAACUUAAAGGAAUUGACGGAAGGGCACCACCAGGAGUGGAGCCUGCGGCCUAAUUUGACUCAACACGGGGAACCUCACCAGGUCCGGACCCCGGCAAGAUUGACAGGUUCACACGACACAGCCCUUUCUCGAUCCGGUGGGGGGUGGUGCAUGGCCGUUCGUGGUUCGUGGAGCGAUCCGUCUGGUUCAUUCCGGUAACGGGCGAGGCCCCGGCCAGUUAACUAGAGCGGGGCUCCCCGCAUAGGGCGCCCGGCUCAGGGAGCGGCAACGUUCCCGGCUCUUCUCAACGGGACGGGCGGCGGGAAGCCGCACGAAGUCGGGGCAAGAACAGGUCCGUGAUGCCCUUAGAAGUCCUGGGCCGCACGCGCGCUACACUGACGGAGGCAGCGCGCUUUCCCUACCCUCCCAGUCCGAGAGGACUCGGGAACCGCUCAACCUCCGUUCGUGCUGGGGACUGGGGACUGCAAGGUCCCCACGAACGAGGAAUUCCUCGUAGGCGCGAGUCAUCAGCUCGCGUCGAUUACGUCCCUGUCCUUUGUACACACCGCCCGUCGCUACAUCCGAUCGAGCGAUCGAGCGAGGUUUUCGGACCGGGCCCGGCGCGGCUGCCUCGGCUGGCCGCGUCGGCGUUCCCAGGGAAGUUGCCCGAGCUGGAUGGCUCAGAGGAGGUAUAAGU